rnacentral:tRNA from 1 species
ACCUGGGUGGUUCAGUUGGUUGAGCAUCUGACUUCAACUCAGGUUUGUGGGUUUGAGCCCCACAUCAGGUU